UACGGAGGGGGCAAGCGUUGUUCGGAAUCAUUGGGCGUAAAGGGCGCGUAGGCGGCCGGCCAAGUCGGGUGUGAAAUCCCUCGGCUCAACCGAGGAACUGCACUCGAUACUGGUUGGCUCGAGUCCGGGAGGGGAUGGUGGAAUUCCCAGUGUAGCGGUGAAAUGCGUAGAUAUUGGGAAGAACACCGGUGGCGAAGGCGGCCAUCUGGACCGGAACUGACGCUGAGGCGCGAAAGCCAGGGGAGCGAAUGGG
rnacentral:rRNA from 1 species